rnacentral:rRNA from 1 species
GACGAACGCUGGCGGCGUGCUUAACACAUGCAAGUCGAGCGGUAAGGCCCUUUCGGGGGUACACGAGCGGCGAACGGGUGAGUAACACGUGGGUGACCUGCCCUCAGCUCUGGGAUAAGCCUGGGAAACUGGGUCUAAUACUGGAUAUGACUCCACGGUGCAUGUCGUGGGGUGGAAAGCCUUGUGCGGCUGAGGAUGGGCCCGCGGCCUAUCAGCUUGUUGGUGGGGUGANGGCCUACCAAGGCGACGACGGGUAGCCGGCCUGAGAGGGCGACCGGCCACACUGGGACUGAGACACGGCCCAGACCCCUACGGGAGGCAGCAGUGGGGAAUCUUGCGCAAUGGGCGAAAGCCUGACGCAGCGACGCCGCGUGAGGAUGACG